GUAUGGACUAUCUUCUGGAUUUUUUUUUUUUUUACAAGAGCCAGGAAGACAGAGAAAAACUAGUAGAAGGUGAAAGAAAAUUCAUUGGAUAUAGAGUUUAAAAAUAAUAGAACUGAAAAAGUUUGUGGUGAUUCAGUUAAAGGAUUUGUUAUUAUUUAUCAAAAUGGAAUUGACCUUUUGCUUAGGUGCUCUUGAAAAAGAAGGCAUAGUAGCUCUGCACAGAGCUUAAAGGAGAAAUAUAGAGAGGCUGUCUUUUGUCUUGUGAUGAGGUGACUCUAAUUCUUUUGAUGACCUAACUCCUGACUAUGUAGGAUAUGCAGGACUUCUCUGUGAGUAUACAUUUGGAGAGGAAAAAUUCACCUUUAUUGAGAAAUAUAACUAUCCUAGCUCUGUCACAUUAUUGGCCAAAGAACCAAAUAAGUAUACACACACUCAAAUCAAAGAUGCUGUAAGAGAUGGCUUGAGGGCUGUCAAAAAAAGCUAUUGAUGAUGGCUGUGAGUUCCAGGUGCUAGUGCAGUAGCAGUGGCAAUGGCAGAAGUCCAAUUAAAUAUAAGUCCAGGGCUCAACUCAGAGUCCAAGCAUUUGCUGAUGUGUUGCUCUUUCUUCCCAAGGUUCUUGCUCAGAACUGUAGUUUUGAUUUUCAAGAAAUGUUAGUUUUAA
rnacentral:lncRNA from 1 species